AGCCCGGUGGUCUAGCGGUCAAGGAUUCCAGGCUCUGAACCUGGAGACAGCAGUUCGAAUCUGCUCCGGGCUA
rnacentral:tRNA from 1 species